GGGGGCAUAAGCUAACGGUAAACUGUCGGUCUCCAAAACCGAUUUUCGAGGUUCGAGUCCUCGUGCCCCCGCAA
rnacentral:tRNA from 5 species